rnacentral:rRNA from 1 species
UACAGAGGUCCCAAGCGUUGUUCGGAUUCACUGGGCGUAAAGGGUGCGUAGGUGGUGAGGUAAGUCGGAUGUGAAAGCUCCGAGCUCAACUCGGAAAUGGCAUUGGAAACUACCUUGCUCGAGGGUUUGAGGGGGGACUGGAAUACUUGGUGUAGCAGUGAAAUGCGUAGAUAUCAAGUAGAACACCAGUGGCGAAGGCGAGUCCCUGGAAAACUCCUGACACUGAGGCACGAAAGCUAGGGGAGCAAAUGGG